rnacentral:lncRNA from 1 species
UUUUCGUUAAAAGAGAAGUUUUUUUGGACUUUCACAACCACUCACAGAUCGAGUCCAAAAACACCACCAUUGUGAUCCUCUCAUCCUCACGAUCACGACCAUACCAACCGAUUCUCUAAUGGUUGAGUUUUGAGUGGUCAACACAGAGCGACUCGGAAGCUCCGACUCGGUCGAGUUGGCGUCGUCGUGAUCCCGGCCGAGUUACAAGGUUUUAGGAUGUGGGGAAGCUCAUACUCAACUCCUCGUGGCCAUUAGACUAGUUUUGGAGAAGCGUUGAUGUCGAAACAGGCACGUUCAAGGAGUUGAGCUUUUGAGCCAUUUUCAAGCCAUUUUCAGGCCAUUUUCAGGCCAUUUCCCGUCCACUUUUGGACUUUUGGAAGGUACAACUUUGUUCUACUCUUCACGAGCUUCAUUUCCAUAUAAAUUUCGUGAAAAAUGGUUGAGAAAUGAGCAAGAUAUUAAGGUUUGAAAUUUUACCCAGAAACCGACGAAGAUUUCCAGUUUCCAACGAGUUCAGACGGUGGCGGAUGGUCGCGACCGGUGAUGACCCACCGGAGAAGAUGACGAAUAUUCCGCCAGACUUGACGGAAACGGCGUCAGGUAACGCCGUUAACGUCCAUUAACUGUUCAACAGAAUAUUUCCGUCAGCUUCUACUGUGCACGUGCCUACGCCUGUGGCCAUG